rnacentral:rRNA from 1 species
AUUGAACGCUGGCGGCAUGCCUUACACAUGCAAGUCGAACGGCAGCACGGGAGCAAUCCUGGUGGCGAGUGGCGAACGGGUGAGUAAUAUAUCGGAACGUGCCCAGUCGUGGGGAUAACGUAGCGAAAGCUACGCUAAUACCGCAUACGAUCUAUGGAUGAAAGCGGGGGAUCGCAAGACCUCGCGCGAUUGGAGCGGCCGAUAUCAGAUUAGGUAGUUGGUGAGGUAAAGGCUCACCAAGCCGACGAUCUGUAGCUGGUCUGAGAGGACGACCAGCCACACUGGGACUGAGACACGGCCCAGACUCCUACGGGAGGCAGCAGUGGGGAAUAUUGGACAAUGGGCGAAAGCCUGAUCCAGCAAUGCCGCGUGAGUGAUGAAGGCC